ACUACUGGAAGGCUGAAAAAAAGGGGGGCUUGGGGAACAAUCAUGCAAUGAAUGAUGAGAAUACUGAGAGGCUUAAAUACCGGGUUUAUUACUGAUAGACUGCAGCUGAUGAACCACAAUACUGGGUGUAAAGCAGGGCGGGACUAGAAUGAGAACAAGGCUGAUUUUCCUUUGACAACUGUAGGUGUCAACAGCCUUGUUUAGGUUAUCCACACCUCCUUGAUAAACAAGUUGAGGUGCAUGAUUGCUUCAGACUUCCUCUUUACCCCUUUGCAGAGUUCUGGUUCCCUAUGCUUUGUGCUCAAAGGAGCACAUUCUUCAUUUGUCUACUGUAGGACACCACCAUGGUAGUUUUGGUGAAGGCAGAGACAGAUGACAGAAUCUGCCUCGGUUACAGCUAGAGGUGUUGGAAGAUAAUAAAGACUACUUUCGAACAACUCAGGUUUUGACAGCUCUAGGUCAAAGGUCACUUGAUCUUUUCACUGUUGAACUUGCCAUGUCAGAGUGCACUUGAUCUUUAACCACGUGUGUCAGAGUGCACUUGAUCUUUAACCCCGAAAGUCAAAGUGCACUUGAACUUUAACACCCAAAGUCAAAGUGUACCUACUCUUUGACCCUGGUCUAUGCGUCAAGUCGGCCCUGUGUCGUUUCAGAAAGAGCAGAUUUUGAAACAAUUGCAUUUGUAGUAUUACAGUGUUAUGUUGGUGUACAACAACAACAUCUGCAACUUGCAAAGCAUAUACCCUUGCAUCGUUGAAAGUCCUCUGUGUUGUUGGUCAGAGGAGUCCUCUCGGUCUGCAGUCAUACGGCAUUUUUGACACACACGCACACACACGCGCACACACGCGCCCUGACCAAUUGUUUAUGGUUCGCGUCUGCCUUUUACCCCCAGUCUCUGGCUCUUUCCUAUAUGAUCCCUCAACAGACCCAAAGUCAUAAACCUGAUUAGGCAUCAAGUGGGCCUGUGUUGUUUUAGAAAGAGCAGAUUUUGAAACAGAGAUUUUGCAUAUGUAGUAUUAGAGUGUGCUGCUGGUGUACAGCAACAACAUCUGCAACAUGUAUGCAAUGUAACACACACACUGUCACGAACACACGGCUGAGGACCCAAAUGCACUCGAGGACUUGGUGAAUUAAGCAGGGUUUUAUUGUACAGCGUCGUCAGGCAGUCCGGGUCAUACACAAUGUAUCUCAGCAUGAGGCACAAUGAGGAACAGGCGAGAUCAGGUCCAAGAGACAGUCAGACGGUCAGACAAAUGCCACAAUCCAGGACGAAGGUACAGAGGAGGGUCAGGCAGAAAUCGACGGUUGAUAACAGGCAGGAUCAGCAAAACGAGAUAACAAUACAAGAACGCUGGAUAGUGGUGCAAGGACUCAACAAUCUGGCGAGGUACUGGUGUGAGAGGUGAAGACUAAAUACUGGUGUUGAUUUACUAAUUGCAGACAGGUGUGGAUAAUGACCGGUGGAAACGGGAACAGCUGUGACAUCUGGUAAACAGGAAGUAAAGCAAGAAUAGAAACAGAAACCGGGAGUGCUACCAAAAUAAAACAGGAAAUGAAAACUGGAACCAAAACAUGACAUGGGUGACAAACUGAGUCCUUACAAAAUAAAAACAGAUCAGGAACCGGAUCGUCACACACACGCGCUGUAAUAGGGUGGAAAAAUCAUUCUCAUUCAUCUCAACUCAACUCAACAAACAAACUCUCACCCCCUCAAGGUUCUGUCGCAUUUUAAGCGCCGACAUUUAAUGUUGUGUUUGACCGUCCGAUUAUUUAUGGUCAGCGUCUGCCUUUUACCCCCGGUCUCUGGCUAUUUUCUAUCUGAUCCCACAACCCCUAAAGUCAUAAAGCUAAUGCAUCAUGUCUUUGAAACUCGGUGUCCCACCCCUUCUGAUAGCAUGGCACUCCCGCAUGCAGGAGUGAGAAUGUAAACAUCUUCACCCCGGUGCAAUAAGGCGAUUCCACCAGGGGCCGGGAGAAUUGUUAAAAAACACAGCGUUAUAAUAGCAAUCGAAACAUGAUUAUACAAAAAUACCGCUAUAACCCGUUACACCGCAGGAGUGUUCGGAGGAGCCCUCCUUGGAAAUACAGGGUGUUAGGACAUCAUCGAGGGCUAUGUUGAUUUGUUAUGCGAAACAAGAGGUGUGAGGGUGUCCCCAGGGGUCAUUCAAGAGUCACACACUUUCUAGUAGUAUUUAGAGCGUAUAUAGUCUAAUCUAUAACAUAAUAUGAUAACGAUGAUAUGAAUUACCGUUUUAACAUCGCAGAAUUAUCCUGAGGAAUCCUCCUUGAAAAGACAGUAUAAAAAGUGGAGAGGUGUUAAGGAGGGAUAGGGCCUUAGCAGGAGGGGGUUUGGGGUGUUGUAAAACCAUUUGAUCAGUUUCUGGGUGACUUUUAUGGAGAAACCUGGUAUAAAUAAAGGCGGAGUUGAAGUUUCAGAAUCAACCCGAACCCAGGCCUUCACGCUAGAUCUUCGUCGGACGUUCAAGCAGCGGUAUGAUUCGAGGUAAAGCUCCGGCGGAUCUCAUUUCUUUGAUUCUCCUGAAAAUAUGUGCUAACAAAUUUCGUCCGCGUCAGCUCCUGCAUCUUAUGCCGCUCGUGGAGCUUGUCUGCCAGAAAGGCAAGACUUCAUACGUAUGACCUCUUUUGCAAAAUCAACCAUUAUUAGAUUGUUGAACGCUUUGAAACAGUUUUCUUUUUAUGGGAGAUCGCCUUGCGCUACAGCGUCACCAGAGCCAAGAAUUCCAACUGCAGUAUAGGCGCCAGGCAGUUUAACAAGCAUUCAGCGCCUUCCCAGCCGGAGAGGCCCUAAGAUUCGUCGGUCAGUUAUUACAUAAUAUAAGCCGAUACAUUUGAGCGUGCUGACAAUAACGGCUGUUUUAUUUUUUCUGAAAAAAGACGCUAAUCAGCCGCCACGGACCGAUCACAGUCUCAACGUAUCAGACGACGCACUUCUGGAGGUGUCACCGGACCCCGGAGAGAUAUUUACUGCCGGCGAAUGCAUCGUCACCCACCCUGGAGCCGCCGCAGCAGCCACAAGAAGAAGAACAACAACAAGAACCGCGGAGCCCCGAAGAGGAGUGUCUAAUCGGCGAGCUGGAACACGUGUUGUUCAGACAGCCGAGCGUGGAGCCUUCAACUUCAGAGAGCGGGGCCCCUGUGCUUCUAGCAGAGCAGAGCAUCCCGGAACACAGGAGGCGAACCCCCGUGUGUCGUCCGGGGACUCCUCUUCCAAGGGGUCGUUCCGGUAAGUUUCUUUUUUUUUUUUUUAAAACA